GAUGAACGCUGGCGGCGUGCUUAACACAUGCAAGUCGAACGGAAAGGCCCCAGCUUGCUGGGGUACUCGAGUGGCGAACAGGUGAGUAACACGUGGGUGAUCUGCCCUGCACUUUGGGAUAAGCUUGGGAAACUGGGUCUAAUACCGAAUAUGACCACUUCUUGGAUGUUGUGGUGGAAAGCUUUUGCGGUGUGGGAUGAGCCUGCGGCCUAUCAGCUUGUUGGUGGGGUAAUGGCCUACCAAGGCGGCGACGGGUAUCCGGCCUGAGAGGGGGUACGGACACAUUGGGACUGAGAUACGGCCCAGACUCCUACGGGAGGCAGCAGUGGGGAAUAUUGCACAAUGGGCGCAAGCCUGAUGCAGCGACGCCGCGUGGGGGAUGAAGGCCUUCGGGUUGUAAACUCCUUUCGCUAUCGACGAAGCCACUUGUGGUGACGGUAGGUAGAUAAGAAGCACCGGCUAACUACGUGCCAGCAGCCGCCGUAA
rnacentral:rRNA from 1 species